rnacentral:rRNA from 1 species
UACGUAGGAGGCAAGCGUUGUCCGGAAUUACUGGGCGUAAAGCGCGUGUAGGUGGUGGGACAAGUCUGCUGUGAAAGCGCCUGGCUUAACCGGGCGAGGUCGGCGGAAACUGUCCGACUCGAGGACGGUAGAGGGGGGUGGAAUUCCCGGUGUAGUGGUGAAAUGCGUAGAGAUCGGGAGGAACACCUGUGGCGAAGGCGGCCCCCUGGCCGGCCCUGACACUGAGACGCGAAGGCGUGGGGAGCGAACGGGG